rnacentral:misc_RNA from 1 species
GAUGAAGAACGUAGCGAAAUGCGAUACUUGGUGUGAAUUGCAGAAUCCCGUGAACCAUCGAGUCUUUGAACGCAAGUUGCGCCCGAAGCCAUCAGGUUGAGGGCACGUCUACCUGGGCGUCACAUAUCGUUGCCCAAUGCCUAUUGCAGUGCAAUAGGAAUUUCUAGGGCGAAUGAUGGCUUCCCGUGAGCGUUGUUGCCUCGCGGUUGGUUGAAAAUCGAGUCCUUGGUAGGGUGUGCCAUGGUAGAUGGUGGUCGAGUUAGAACGAUACCGAUCAUGUGCAUGCUCCCCAAAAUAUGGCCUCUAUGACCCACACGCGUCUUUUGACGCUCAUGACGAGACCUCAGGUCAGGCGGGGCUACCCGCUGAAUUUAAGCAUAUCAAUAAGCGGAGGA